rnacentral:precursor_RNA from 1 species
CGCCCACGCCCACGCCCCCGCCGCGCCGCGGCGCCGGGGGCAGCGGCCGGGCGGC